AACAGCUUAGAUUAAUUAAACCAUGGGCCUUCAAAGCCCAAGAUAAGAGCUAUACCCUCCUAGCUGUUG
rnacentral:tRNA from 1 species